rnacentral:rRNA from 1 species
AGAGUUUGAUCCCGGCUCAGAAUCAACGCUGGCGGCGCGCUUAACACAUGCAAGUCGCACGAGAAAGGGAGCAAUCCUAAGUAAAGUGGCGUACGGGUGAGUAACACGUGGAUCAUCUACCUUCUAGUGGGGAAUACCUCCGGGAAACUGGAGACAAUACCGCAUAAGCUCGAAAGAGGAAAGCAGCAAUGCGCUGGAAGAGGAGUCCGCGGUCGAUUAGCUAGAUGGUGAGGUAAUGGCUCACCAUGGCGAAGAUCGAUAGCCGGCCUGAGAGGGCUCACGGCCACACUGGCACUGAAACACGGGCCAGACUCCUACGGGAGGCAGCAGUGGGGAAUCUUGCACAAUGGAGGAAACUCUGAUGCAGCGACGCCGCGUGAGUGAUGAAGCCCUUCGGGGUGUAAAGCUCUUUCGACAGGAACGAUAAUGACGGUACCUGAAGAAGAAGCUGCGGCUAACUACGUGCCAGCAGCCGCGGUAAUACGUAGGCAGCAAGCGUUGUUCGGAAUUACUGGGCGUAAAGAGUGUGUAGGCGGUGCUCUAAGUUUGGUGUGAAAUCUCCCGGCUCAACCGGGAGGCUGCAUCGAAUACUGGAAUGCUAGAGGGUGGGAGAGGUAAGCGGAAUUCUUGGUGUAGCGGUGAAAUGCGUAGAUAUCAGGAGGAACACCUGUGGUGUAGACAGCUUACUGGACCACUUCUGACGCUGAGACACGAAAGCGUGGGUAGCAAACAGGAUUAGAUACCCUGGUAGUCCACGCCCUAAACGAUGCAUACUUGGUGUGGGCCAUUCAUUUGGUCUGUGCCGGAGCUAACGCGUUAAGUAUGCCGCCUGGGGAGUACGGCCGCAAGGUUAAAACUCAAAGAAAUUGACGGGGGCCCGCACAAGCGGUGGAGCAUGUGGUUUAAUUCGAAGCAACGCGCAGAACCUUACCCACCUUUGACAUCCCGUGCUAUCUAGAGAGAUCUAGAGUCCCUUCGGGGCGCGGAGACAGGUGCUGCAUGGCUGUCGUCAGCUCGUGUCGUGAGAUGUUGGGUUAAGUCCCGCAACGAGCGCAACCCUCGCUUCUAGUUGCCAGCAUUUAGUUGGGCACUCUAGAGGAACUGCCUGCGCCAAGCAGGAGGAAGGCGGGGAUGACGUCAAGUCCUCAUGGCCCUUACAGGUGGGGCUACACACGUGCUACAAUGGCGGUGACAAAGGGAUAAUCCCUAAAAGCCGUCUCAGUUCGGAUUGUCCUCUGCAACUCGAGGGCAUGAAGUUGGAAUCGCUAGUAAUCGCGGAUCAGCACGCCGCGGUGAAUACGUUCCCGGGCCUUGUACACACCGCCCGUCACACCAUGGGAGUUGGUUCUACCUGAAGACGGUUUCCCAACCGCAAGGAGGGGACCGGCCACGGUAGGGUCAGCGACUGGGGUGAAG